rnacentral:misc_RNA from 1 species
AUAGUAUACAUGUUAGGAUUAAAAUCAAAGGUAUUCAGGAAAAAACCAAGUGAGAGUUAUCCUGGGAGUAAUAUGGGAGAAGUUGUCAUAAGCUUAAAUGUAGGAGGUUUCAUCUACUGCACCACAUUGGCGUGUAUGAGGAAGUACCCGAACUCUACCCUUGGUAGGAUGUUCAUGAGCCAACCAUACGUCAUAAUGGAUAACUCAGAUAACUAUUUCCUGGAUCGUGAUGGAAAAUUAUUCCGCUAUGUACUGAAUUAUAUCAGAGAUGGUGAGCUAAAUCUGCCAGAAAAUUUUGACGAGUUUGAUCAAUUAGAAAAAGAAGUUAGCUAUUAUAAGAUAUUGCCGUUGAUGAGAGAUAUCAAAAAAGUAAGAGAAGCGCAUGAGUUGCUCGGGCAACCAAAAAACAUAGAGACUUCCAAAUAUGGCUGUAUUAUUGAAAUCAUAGAAAGUGGCAAUGAUGUUUUGCUGGAGUUUGGCUACUCUGAAGAUUCACUUUACCGAUUCCCUCCUGGCCUUCAGGAGCUACUUAAACCAACAAUCUAUGACGUUAUAAAUGACGAAAAGGGGAUAAUUUCCCGAUAUACAAUGAAGCUGUCCAGACUUCAAUGUGCAGCUAGAUUGAAAUCUAAGAAUUGGGAGUUUUUAGGGUCUGUUGCUGUAGCAACAGGGAAGAAUAACCAUAACAACAAAGAGAUUAGGGAUAAGUGGUAUAAGGAUUGCUCUGACAGAAGUCUGAACACAGUAGUUAUGGAUGACGCUGCUAUGAAAAAGUUAUUAGGACCAGAAAAAAGCUUUUCUCAUUAUACACAUCUUUAACCAAAGUUCUAUGCAUUUGUGACUGACACCAUUUGAUGAGAAUGACAGCUGUCACACACAAUAUGACAGGUGUCAUGAGAAUGACAAGCAUCAAAGACAAUGAGCUUAUUCACCUGAAUGUUGGUGGCGUCAUCUAUACAACAACACGUCUCACAUUAACGACUUAUCCUAACACUAUGAUUGGUGCAAUGUUCAAUGGCAAUAUGUCAAACACAAAAGACGAACAUGGAAGGAUUUUCAUUGAUCGGGACGGGGAAUUAUUUAAAUAUGUCUUGAACUUCCUGCGAUCGUCCACGCUAUCUCUACCUGAUGGCUUUAAAGAUUAUUCGUCACUUUUAGCCGAGGCAGAUUUUUACCAAAUUCAGCCGCUCACUGAUCUUGUUAGGAAUAUUAUUCAGGAGAUCGAUGAAGAGAAAAAGAAGGAGUUUGAACCUGAUGGGAUGUUUUUAGAAGUAACAGAACGUUUUUGCCCAUAUUGGAAUCGUUUUAAAACAUACAUUGCUGGGUCAUGGGAUGAAAAUGACACCCCAUUGGUCCUAAUCGAUCUUCUCAAUAUUGUAUUUAUUUCGGAAAUGUUACGCUCAAAUGUUCCAACCACACAGCUCACGAGACUACAAUGUUCCGCCCGCCUAAGAUCAAAAGGUUGGAUUUUACAAAACACAUUUUUGUCGUCGUGGGGUGGGGAUGGGAAAGAGGGUAAAGAGGUGAUUAAGGAUAGAUGGUUCUUGCCGCAUACUGUUGGAGUGAAGAAUGGUUGCCUAAAGGAAACUGAACUUUAGGAAUUGGUUGUAUAAUACAUGGUCAGGGAAUUUUGUCGUUAUUGUAUAGUUUUGCUGCAAGCCAUUGUGACCUUGAGAUCCUAUAUACUUCACCUUCUGAAGGUAAAGUAGGUAGGAUUUGGGGAUUCAGAGGCUAAUGAUUUUUUGAAUAGAUAGGUCAUUUGCAUUUAAGUGAAUCAAAUGUCACUAAAAAUUUCUUUCAUAUUUUACUGUACAUGUGGCCCGAGUAAGUAGAAAACAUGUUUACUUUCUAAUUCUUAAUCUUACACUAUAUACAAGUGUAUGGAAAUAUGUCGGAUGGGUAGUGGCUUAAUGAUAUUUACAUUCAGAGAGUUCUUCUAACCAAUGUAUUUUUUGGAGAAGAAAUAUUUACACAAUAUAGUUAUUCAACAUCACAUCCUCUUUGUGAAAAAAUUGAGCUCUGAUCUCUUUCAAUUUUACAAGACAUACCAUAGAGUUUUUGGUCAAAGUGUGCAAUACUUAUAUUUAAAUUUAGUUAAUAUUUUAUGGAACCACAUGCAAUAAUAUGUCAUGAGGUAUUAACUAUUUAUGCAUGCUUGAUUAUUUUGAGUGUGGUUGAAUUGUGUGUUAAUAGAAAUCAGUUG